rnacentral:rRNA from 1 species
UUCGAGAGCUAAUACACCAAAAGCCUGACUUGCAUUUAUUAGAACAAUGGUGAAUCUGAAUAACUCAGUUGAUCGCAUUCGCACCGGCGACGUAUCUUUCAAGUGUCUGCCUUAUCAACUUUCGAUGGUAGUUUACAUGACUACCAUGGUUGUAACGGGUAACGGAGAAUAAGGGUUCGACUCCGGAGAGGGAGCCUGAGAAACGGCUACCACAUCCAAGGU